UACGAAGGGUGCAAGCGUUGUUCGGAAUCAUGGGGCGUAAAGCGAGCGCGGGUGGCUUUAUAAGUCAGGAGUGAAAGCCCCGGGCUUAACCUGGGAAUGGCGUUUGAAACUGGAGGGCUGGAGUGUGGCAGAGGGAGGUGGAAUUCCACGUGUAGCAGUGAAAUGCGUAGAGAUGUGGAGGAACACCGAUGGCGAAGGCAGCCUCCUGGGCCUACACUGACGCUCAUGCACGAAAGCGUGGGGAGCAAAGAGG
rnacentral:rRNA from 1 species